rnacentral:rRNA from 1 species
AGAGUUUGAUCCUGGCUCAGGAUGAACGCUAGCGGCAGGCUUAAUACAUGCAAGUCGAGGGGCAGCAUGAUUGUAGCAAUACAAUUGAUGGCGACCGGCAAACGGGUGCGGAACACGUACACAACCUUCCAACAAGUGGGGGAUAGCCCAGAGAAAUUUGGAUUAAUACCCCGUAACAUAGCGAUGUGGCAUCACAUUGCUAUUAUAGAUUUUUCGCUUGUUGAUGGGUGUGCGGCUGAUUAGAUAGUUGGCGGGGUAACGGCCCACCAAGUCUACGAUCAGUAGCUGAUGUGAGAGCAUGAUCAGCCACACGGGCACUGAGACACGGGCCCGACUCCUACGGGAGGCAGCAGUAAGGAAUAUUGGACAAUGGACGCAAGUCUGAUCCAGCCAUGCCGCGUGAAGGAUUAAGGUCCUCUGGAUUGUAAACUUCUUUUAUAAGGGACGAAAAAAGGCUUUUCUAAGUCGUCUGACGGUACCUUAUGAAUAAGCACCGGCUAACUCCGUGCCAGCAGCCGCGGUAAUACGGAGGGUGCAAGCGUUAUCCGGAUUCACUGGGUUUAAAGGGUGCGUAGGCGGGCAGGUAAGUCAGUGGUGAAAUCCUAGAGCUUAACUCUAGAACUGCCAUUGAUACUAUCUGUCUUGAAUAUUGUGGAGGUAAGCGGAAUAUGUCAUGUAGCGGUGAAAUGCUUAGAUAUGACAUAGAACACCUAUUGCGAAGGCAGCUUACUACGCAUAUAUUGACGCUGAGGCACGAAAGCGUGGGGAUCAAACAGGAUUAGAUACCCUGGUAGUCCACG